rnacentral:rRNA from 1 species
UACAGAGGUCCCAAGCGUUGUUCGGAUUCACUGGGCGUAAAGGGUGCGUAGGUGGUGAGGUAAGUCGGAUGUGAAAUCUCCGAGCUCAACUCGGAAAUGGCAUUGGAAACUACCUUGCUCGAGGGUUGGAGGGGGGACUGGAAUGCUUGGUGUAGCAGUGAAAUGCGUAGAUAUCAAGCGGAACACCGGCGGCGAAGGCGGCCAACUGGACGAAUACUGACGCUGAGACACGAAAGCGUGGGGAGCAAACAGG